rnacentral:rRNA from 1 species
GAUUAACGCUGGCGGCGUGCCUGACACGUGCAAGUCGAACGAGGCCGCAAGGCCGAGUGGCGGACGGGUGAGUAACACGUGACCAACCAACCUCGAGGUUGGGAAUAGCUCUGCGAAAGUAGGGGUAAUACCGAAUGUGGCCCAAGGCGGGCAUCCGCCUUGGUCUAAAGAUUCAUCGCUUCGAGACGGGGUCGCGGCCUAUUAGCUUGUUGGUGGGGUAACGGCUCACCAAGGCGAUGAUGGGGUAGCUGGUCUGAGAGGACGACCAGCCACACUGGGACUGAGACACGGCCCAGACUCCUACGGGAGGCAGCAGUGAGGAAUCUUCCGCAAUGGGCGAAAGCCUGACGGAGCAACGCCGCGUGUGGGAUGAAGGCUCUAGGGUUGUAAACCACUGUC